AGAGUCCCCCUAACCAGGGGCUCUCUUCAGGAACCACCAUGUGGGCAUUGACCUCUGGAGACUUCUUUUUCAGCUGUAGGAAAUUUUUUUUAGAUGCUGUGAUGAAAAAAUCACUCCAGCUGGGGAUAAUCAGGGAAUAAAGGAAGGGGAAAAGGGCUUGGAGUAGUGUAGAAGAGAAGGACAGAAGAUCAGGGAGCCUGGGGGCUUGGGGGCAGGGCCUUGGGAGAGAGAGUAGCAGAGGUGGGGAGGGGCCCGGCUCCAGAACCAGCUCCUGCACCUUUCCCUGCACCCAAGCCUCACAGCUUUUAAUUGGGCCCAAGACUCUUUCCUGUCUGGAUGUCACCCUGGGCAGAACGUUGAGAAUCGAAGGUAAGGUGUGGGCAGCACUCACCUAGGGGGUCACUGAGGACUUGGUCAAGUCCACAGUGCCUUUUCUAGUCAUGUGUCUUCACCUGUUCUUUAUCUCAGGAUCUGAGAAGCAGGAGCAAGGAACUCAGGGAGAGAUCCAGGAAGACAUCUGACUCUGUUAAGAGACGACAGUCACAGCGACACGGGGAGCGAGGACACUUGCAGCAAAGUAAAAUGACUUCACAACUAUUGCAUCAGAGCUGCAGGUGUGAGAGAGCCUAAGCCUGUCUCAGAGUGCAGGGGACAAGAGGAAAGGAAUGGCUCCUCAGCUCAGAUGUAAGAAAAGACUCUUUAAACUUCUUGAUGCAGCUCCUUAAUGAAGAUCUUGUGAAGGAAACCUACUCAAAACCUGGGAGCAUUCCUAGGAGAGAAUUCAGCAGUGCAGCAUCCUCUCCGAGCUCUAUGAGUUGAUCGGCUUCCACCGCAAGUCCGCCUUCUUCAAGAGGGUGGCCCCCUUGCAGCGCGUGGCCCCCGGCAUUACGGAGCCUGGCGCGAAGGCCUGCUACCGACUCCUUCUGCAGACGCUUCCUGGCUACAGUCUGUCGCUGGAUCUGCAGGACUUCAGCAAAGGUGUUGGAACUAAAACAUUGCUUCAGUCCCAUUAACCAUGCCUGGUUUGGGCCCUGCUGUCCUGUCUCAUCAGGGUGAAUUCUGAUUCGUUUAGAAUAGGGCUCAGCAGACUUUUUCUGUCAAGGGCUUGGGAGUAAGUAUUUCAGGGUCUGCAAACCUCCUGAUCUCUGGUGCAGCUGCUCAGCUCUGCUGUUCAGACGCCAGAGCAUCCGGACAUUCCACACACCCACAGAGCUUUAUUAACAGCGGUGUCUGGGGCUGGAUUCAGUGUAUGAACUGCAGUUUGUCCCCACAGCCUCCUCAUUAUUGACGCCUUCAACAGAGCAUGCAUUUGCGACACUGGGUGAACCUGCACUGACACGUCAUCAUCACCCAGAGCCCAGACUUGACACUAGGAUUUACACUUGGUGGUGUGCACUCUGUGGGUUUGGACAGAUGUGCAAUGACAUGUAUCCACCGUCACAGCAUCAUACAGAGUAGUCUGUCUUAGUGACCUUAAAAUGCUCCGUGCUGCACCUCAUUCAUUGCUCCUUCCCCUCUAGCCUCUGACAGCCACUGAUCUUUUAGUCUCUGUGGUUUUCCCUUUCCCAGAACACCAUACAGUUGGAAUCAGACAGUUGCGGAACCUUCCCAGAUUGGCUUCUUUCACUUAGUAAUAUGCAUUUAAGGUUCCUCCAUGUCUUUCCAUGCCUUGAUAACUCAUUUCAUUUUAGCACCAAAUAAUAGUCCAUUUUCUGGCUGGACCACAGUUUAUCCAUUCACCUACUGAAGAACAGCUUAGUUGCUUCUGAGUUCUGGUGAUUAUGAAUAAAGCUGCUAUUAACAUCUGUA